rnacentral:lncRNA from 1 species
UCUGCAAUCAGGCGCAUGUUCCACUCCUUCUAAAACAGGAGCGUUUUGGAAGGUUUUUUUUACGCGCAACAGUCCCAUUUUCAUCAUUUACCUGAAAGCAGUGUUUUGCCUUUUAUCUCUGCUGCGUGUUUGUUUGUUGUCAUCUUCCCCCACGCGACUAUUUUCUUUCCAUUUACAGGACGACUCAACUGUAGUGUUCAUUUUAAUCCGGGACUACAUGACUAAAAGGUAAGUUGUCUCCUUUCUGCUGUGACCGCGUCCUUGCUCUAACAAUGUUGCUGCGAGUGAGUGCGAGUGUGUGUGCGAGUGUGUGUGUGUGGGUGUGUGUGUGCGUAAAAUGUUGUGCCAGGGUCACAGGUGCUCGUCAUCAUCUCUUGAAAGGCGUGGUUUUUGUCCACCCAUCCUUUAUAUAUUUAUUUGGGAUGAGUGGGAGACAAGCCGCGUGAGUUUUACGCGCGUAAUUUUAGUACAAUUGGUUAGAAUUAAAGUAAAGCGACUCGAUAAAUAACAGUGAUUUUUACCGUACAUGCAUUUUUUGUCCAUCUGUAAUGUUUGCAUUAAAUAUGUAUCUAAUAUGUCUCACGUUUGAGUGCGUUUUGAAAACAUUUUGAUCAGGAAUCCUCGCGAAACAAUAAUUUUCCUGACCUAAUACACCUGUUUCUCCAUCUAGAAUUAUAAAACAUCUCUGUUUAUUUAACUAAAUAUACUUUUAUGUAUUAAUAAACACCGGAUAAAUCAUGUUAAAUUUGAAACAUCACAUGAAACAAUGAUAAUCAACGCUUCUCUUGCGCAUGACAUCCAUGCGAAAUCGCAGCCCGGACAUGUCUUAUUGUCCCUGUCUUGAACUCCUGAGAGACCUCUCUCAGUGUCUGUGUGUCACCGCAGCUCCAUGCAGCUCUCACUUAAUGAAGAUGCGUUCGCCAUUCACUCCUUCUGCUCCCACAGUCUAUAAAAAGCAGUGGUUUCUGCUACACAGAGCCAGUCUUGUGCUUUUGCCCCAGCCAGCGACGAGCUGCUGGAAAAAGAAAGAUCCAGAUGCUUUGGCCCCCUUUUUUUUUUCUUGCAAAAAGAAUAUGGCCUUGUGUGCGCUGAGGUGCAUUUUUGCCAGGACGCGCGAGGUUUCCAUGGUGCGCGCGAUGAAAGGGAUCACACAGAAAAGUUGGUUGGUGAAUGACAGGCCGUACAGGAAGAGCGGCUGGAAAUGAGCACGAUAUGAUGGAUUUUAGAGAGAGGGGAAAAAAGGCACAAAUUACGAGGCUCUCUGAGUAUUAACCGCAAAGAUGCGUGUCAAGGAAGUUGGAUGACCCCCUUUUUUAGCAGCCAAAGUGCGUGUGCACAAGUCUGUCCUUUGUGUCACCCUGACAACACACUUUCUGAUUUUUUUAUUCACUUUUUUACGAGUUUUUCUGCAAUGUCUGCAAAAGUCAAAACCUCAAAUUCAGAAGUAAGAUUAAAUUUACCAAAGAUUAAACUUCUCUCACAUUGAAAACAGGACGUUUAAACGUCUAAAUGAAUGCAACGAGGUAUUUGUGUAAACUAUGAUAUAGGAUUUAUUCAUUAGAGUGGAGGCCUUUUCUGUUUCAGACAGUCACGUGUUAAUCUCUUCCAGUCUACUUGAUAUGCAGCAGUUAUUAUCAGGACCCCAACCAAUGGGACUCCAAGGUCUCUGCAACUAAACAAGUUUCCCUUCCUCUGUCUGCAGAUGUAGGGUAAAAUGUAUAAAAAACACUUUUAGAUUUUUUUUACACAACAUUUAUCGAGUAUAUGUUAUAAAUAAAACAGUAAAAAGAUUAAAUUUCAUUUUAUUAUUGAAAAAGUUGAAUCCAAGUAAGAUUUUCGGGCACUUUCUUUAAGUGUUAAGUUAUAAAUAUGACCAAAACUAAAUUGAACUCGAUCAUUAAGUUUUAUUUCCACAGGUUCACCUGCUAAAAAAAAACACACUCUCACUCUUAAAACGGUCUCGGCCUCAUAUUAGAUGUUAAAUGCAAACCUUCUCCAAGUCUAGAGGGAAUAUUUCGACCUGCCACGAGCUAUGUUUAGAUUUUAAAAUUCAUGUGAUGUACCCCCCAACUACAGCAAAGCGACUGGAAUAAUAUCCACCAACUCACUCAAUCAGUUAAUUGUAUUUCGUUUCCUUUUUUUUUUUUUUUUUUUUUUUGAUAGACAUGCGUAAUAGGCACUAAAUAUGCAAUACAAAAAAAAUCCUGUUUGCCCAUCCGUUUUGAAGACCAAAUCGUCCCGUGCUUUUCAGGUAACUUUUUCCUUUUCUUUUUUUGGCUAAUGAACUUGGGCUAUUCUGCCAGCAUCCCCCUGAGAAUGCGACUUAAAGGGGAAGGGGGGGAAAACGCUUCUCUUGUGGUAAAAGGUGCGAGUUUCUUCCUCUAUCUCUCGGCUAAUUAGGCGGGGUCUGAACACGCCAGGAUGAAUAUUCAUGAAAGGCACCAGCGCGCAAUUAGUAGUGGAGAGAGUUCCCAACUUCAAUCCCCAAAACAACGCAGCUUGUGGAGGGAAAGGGGGUACUGGUUCCCCCCCUUCUCCACUCCAUGUGUCCCUGCUUCUGCUCGAGCACUCUUUGAGCCCCCUCACUUAUACUCUCAACUCUUAUCAGCCAGACUCCUGCUCCCACUUUCAAAGCAGCCAGCAACAUGAGUGAUCUGUCCACUCCAUGUUGGGAAUAACAGUUAAUCCAAUUACAUUUCUCAAUAACUUCUGAAGUGGUAGGAGAGAAUUUCCUAUGUCACAUGAGGUGUUAGGAGUUCCUGCAGAGACGUGAACAAAAUCCCAUUCAAAACUCACAUAUGAAUAAGCUUGAAGUUAAAAAGGAUCCUCUUGAUGGGGGACAUUUUCCGCACUUACUUCAUGAGGUUGAAGAUGAGCAUUUGUAACUGAAACUGCACACACACACAUGCAGAAACACAACUUGUGCACACCUCCACCACCUAAUGAUGCAUAUCAUCUAACACCUCCACCACCUAAUGAUGCAUCAUCUAACACCACACAAUUCCAUAAGCAUCACACCUCACUUUUCCAAAUCCCCUGAAUCGCCAAUGGCCCUUGGUGCACACGCCUGCCCCAUCCCCUUAAAGCCUCCCUCCACCUGUCUUGUGGUUUGUGUGUCACGCCAGCCUGUGUGGCUGUCCGCCUGUCCGUCCGCCCCACCGAAGACCCACAAUCCUCUGCUUUGAAUUCAAGGUGAUUCUUAUCCCCGACCCCCUCCUUGCCCCUGCGCGUUUGCCUCUUGCCUCCAUAAAGACGUGUUUAUGUAUGUAUGUAUGUGCAGAGGGGAACAUGGGGAGGGUUUUUCAAGGGUUGGGGGGAGAUAAGCAGAGGAAUUUGAGGCCGGUGAAUAUGGAUGGGGUCCCUGCUUUAAGAGAGCACCGCUGAUAGAGAGGUAAACAGCUCCUGGCCAGGAGAGGGGAGGAGGAGGAAGGGAUGAGGAGGUGGUGGAGGGGGUCUGCUUGAUGCAUGCACUGGCAUACAUUUGAGGCCUAACUCCAUAUCCCUCUCUCUCUGUUAUUCGCUCACCAUCUCUGAGGACUAUCUGUCAUUAUUCCCUCACCUUUCUCUGUCGUUGGGCUUUUGCUCUCUGACAAUCUUCAGGUUCCAUUAUCAAAACACACACAGAGAGAGUGAGGGUGUUUGCAAACCUGAUUUAAGCCUCAGAAGUUUUUAGUUUCUCUGCGCUGAUGCUGCAUUUUUAAGAGCGAUGAAAUCAGCGCAGGUUGUUGGCUACAGGUGGGGAUUUUUUCUGCAUAAAAUCAUCUCCAAAAACAUUUCUUCCUCUCUCUUUUUCUGUCGCCUCUUGUGAAGAACUUGACAACACCAGAAACAUGACCAUCUCAGACUUGUUCUGACCCUCUCUCUCUUUCUCUGUCUCUCCUCUCCUCCUGACAGAUCCUGAGAGUCUGAGCGGCUUUGGAAACACAGAGGCCGUGACCCAGCAGGCCACAGCAGGAGUGAGUCGACGUGUCUCACACGUGUAGUCACAAUUUAAUGUGUGCAAGAGUGCAAACAUGCUACUUAUGUUUAAUCUGUUGUUCAUGAGUCUGUUCAGCUCCAUUCCAGUCCUUUUAUUGUGAGAUUGAGUGUGACAAGGAUGACUUUUUGGAUAUGUGUGUGAGUUUGAGAGAGAGACAUUCACUAACAGUUUGAAGGCAACAUGCAAACUACAAUGUUUGAGCAAUUACACAAGCAUGAUUAUACACCAUUUCCAAACACAACACUCCUUUAAAAGAGUUUCAUGUGACAGAGCUGCACCUGCCUUUAAAAAGUUGUUAGUCCAUCAAAAUAGAUUUCUAUUUAAAGAUGAUUUUUACUGUUAUUUACUGUAAUCCAACUACAGUUAGUUACUGUUCACCUUAAGAAAA